AUCGCAUCUCGGCCUUUUGGCUAAGAUAAAGUGUAGUAUAUAUUCUUAUCAGUUUAAUAUCUGAUACGGGCCAUAUAUUUUAGGCAGUGGCCUAAUGGAUAGGGAGUCAAACUUGU
rnacentral:snRNA from 1 species